rnacentral:rRNA from 1 species
CUCAGUAACGCGUAGUCAACCUAACCUAUGGACGGGAAUAACCUCGGGAAACUGAGAAUAAUGCCCGAUAGAACACUAUACCUGGAAUGGUUUGUGUUCCAAAUGAUUUAUCGCCAUAGGAUGGGACUGCGGCCUAUCAGUUUGUUGGUGAGGUAAUGGCCCACCAAGACUAUUACAGGUACGGGCUCUGAGAGGAGUAGCCCGGAGAUGGGUACUGAGACACGGACCCAGGCCCUAUGGGGCGCAGCAGGCGAGAAAACUUUGCAAUGUGCGAAAGCACGACAAGGUUAAUCCGAGUGAUUUGUGCUAAACGAAUCUUUUGUUAGUCCUAGAAACACUAACGAAUAAGGGGUGGGCAAGUUCUGGUGUCAGCCGCCGCGGUAAAACCAGCACCUCAAGUGGUCAGGAUGAUUAUUGGGCCUAAAGCAUCCGUAGCCGGCUCUGUAAGUUUUCGGUUAAAUCUGUACGCUUAACGUACAGGCUGCCGGGAAUACUGCAGAGCUAGGGAGUGGGAGAGGUAGACGGUACUCGGUAGGAAGUGGUAAAAUGCUUUGAUCUAUCGAUGACCACCUGUGGCGAAGGCGGUCUACCAGAACACGUCCGACGGUGAGGGAUGAAAGCUGGGGGAGCAAACCGGAUUAGAUACCCGGGUAGUCCCAGCUGUAAACUAUGCAAACUCAGUGAUGCAUUGGCUUGUGGCCAAUGCAGUGCUGCAGGGAAGCCGUUAAGUUUGCCGCCUGGGAAGUACGUACGCAAGUAUGAAACUUAAAGGGAAU